GAGCAGUCAGAGUGUACUUCCAGAGAGAGUUCCGCACGGGAUGCCAGCAGAUCUAGGGUUUGAAGCAGGGCCAAAGUUUCUGCCUGCUCCGCCGAUUGCGCCUCCACCACUCUCGCAAAACCGUCCACCAAGCAUCCUCGAGAGUCCCUGCAGAUGCAUGCCACAGCUGCUCUGUUUUGUGGUAGUCCUUUGGUCCCUGUUUCCAUAGCGUGGGGCUCGGCAAAAGAGGCGUCGAAGUUUACCUUCAGCUGAUGGGGAGGCGGUGGUAACCAGCGGUCAGAUCUUACG
rnacentral:lncRNA from 1 species